CCUACGGGUGGCUGCAGUGGGGAAUAUUGCACAAUGGGGGAAACCCUGAUGCAGCAACGCCGCGUGAAGGAAGACGGCUUUCGGAUUGUAAACUUUUGUUUUUAGUGAAGAAUAAUGACGGUAGCUAAGGAGCAAGUCACGGCCAACUACGUGCCAGCCGCCGCGGUAAUACGUAGGUGGCAAGCGUUAUCCGGAAUUACUGGGUGUAAAGGGAGCGCAGGUGGGAAGCCAAGUCAGCUGUGAAAGUUAAGGGCUUAACUUGUAGACUGCAGGUGAAACUGGUAUUCUUGAGUGAAGUAGAGGUUGGCGGAAUUCCGGGUGUAGCGGUGAAAUGCGUAGAUAUUCCGAAGAACACCGAUGGCGAAGGCAGCCAACUGGACUUUAACUGACACUGAGGCUCGAAAGUGUGGGUAGCAAACAGGAUUAGAUACCCCGGUAGUC
rnacentral:rRNA from 1 species